CAGUGAUUGUCUGUGACAGUGAUAUCAAGUUGCACAAUUGCAAGUUCACCUCACCCUAGUGAACACAGAUGCACGCUCAACUCACCACAGGGCUUUAAAUCUAUAUUCUGCUACUCAACCUUUUUGUAAACUGUAGGAAUAUGUUGCCUUCUGAAUACAGUCUCAGUGUGCACAGAUAGUUGCUGUAGCUAUGAAGACUCUGAGGAAUUUGAUAUUUCAAGGUUAAGACGACAGGAUUGGCGUUAUUUCCGCCUUGCCUAAAGCAAAGCCAGGUAUUCUUCCAGCCAGUGCAAAGGUGACAGAGGCGGAUAAUGUCAGGGAUUCUAGUCAGUAACCAACAUUAGCAUAGCAGGUUAAUAAAUUACUCAACAGAAACUGAG